rnacentral:tRNA from 1 species
GAUUCCGUAGCUCAGUUGGUAGAGCAAUACACUUUUAAUGUAUGGGCCCUGGGUUCGAGUCCCAGCGGAAUCACAA